rnacentral:tRNA from 1 species
CGGAGAGGUGCCGGAGCGGUUGAACGGGACGGUCUCGAAAACCGUUUUCCGCGAUUGCGGAACGUGGGUUCGAAUCCCACCCUCUCCGUC